UACAGAGGGUGCAAGCGUUUGUUCGGAAUUAUUGGGCGUAAAGAGCUCGUAGGCGGUGUGUCGCGUCGGCCGUGAAAGUCCGGGGCUCAACUCCGGAUCUGCGGUGGGUACGGGCAGACUAGAGUGAUGUAGGGGAGACUGGAAUUCCUGGUGUAGCGGUGAAAUGCGCAGAUAUCAGGAGGAACACCGAUGGCGAAGGCAGCUCGCUGGGACGGUACUGACGCUGAGACGCGAAAGCGUGGGGAGCAAACAGG
rnacentral:rRNA from 1 species